rnacentral:rRNA from 1 species
AGAGUUGAUAUGGCUCAGGAUGAACGCUAGCGACAGGCUUAACACAUGCAAGUCGAGGGGCAGCACGGGAGUAGCAAUACAACUGGUGGCGACCGGCGCACGGGUGAGUAACGCGUAUGCAACCUACCUAUCAGAGGGGAAUAACCCGGCGAAAGUCGGACUAAUACCGCAUAAAACAGGGGCACCGCAUGGUGAUAUUUGUUAAAGAGAUUCGCUGAUAGAUGGGCAUGCGUUCCAUUAGGUAGUUGGUGAGGUAACGGCUCACCAAGCCGACGAUGGAUAGGGGAACUGAGAGGUUGGUCCCCCACACUGGUACUGAGACACGGACCAGACUCCUACGGGAGGCAGCAGUGAGGAAUAUUGGUCAAUGGGCGGGAGCCUGAACCAGCCAAGUCGCGUGAAGGAAGAAGGAUCUAUGGUUCGUAAACUUCUUUUGCAGGGGAAUAAAGUGCAGGACGUGUCCUGUUUUGUAUGUACCCUGAGAAUAAGGAUCGGCUAACUCCGUGCCAGCCGCCGC